rnacentral:rRNA from 2 species
CUCUGGUAUUGAUUGGUGCUUGCAUCAUGAUUUACAUUUGAGUGAGUGGCGAACUGGUGAGUAACACGUGGGAAACCUGCCCAGAAGCGGGGGAUAACACCUGGAAACAGAUGCUAAUACCGCAUAACAACUUGGACCGCAUGGUCCGAGUUUGAAAGAUGGCUUCGGCUAUCACUUUUGGAUGGUCCCGCGGCGUAUUAGCUAGAUGGUGGGGUAACGGCUCACCAUGGCAAUGAUACGUAGCCGACCUGAGAGGGUAAUCGGCCACAUUGGGACUGAGACACGGCCCAAACUCCUACGGGAGGCAGCAGUAGGGAAUCUUCCACAAUGGACGAAAGUCUGAUGGAGCAACGCCGCGUGAGUGAAGAAGGGUUUCGGCUCGUAAAACUCUGUUGUUAAAGAAGAACAUAUCUGAGAGUAACUGUUCAGGUAUUGACGGUAUUUAACCAGAAAGCCACGGCUAACUACGUGCCAGCAGCCGCGGUAAUACGUAGGUGGCAAGCGUUGUCCGGAUUUAUUGGGCGUAAAGCGAGCGCAGGCGGUUUUUUAAGUCUGAUGUGAAAGCCUUCGGCUCAACCGAAGAAGUGCAUCGGAAACUGGGAAACUUGAGUGCAGAAGAGGACAGUGGAACUCCAUGUGUAGCGGUGAAAUGCGUAGAUAUAUGGAAGAACACCAGUGGCGAAGGCGGCUGUCUGGUCUGUAACUGACGCUGAGGCUCGAAAGUAUGGGUAGCAAACAGGAUUAGAUACCCUGGUAGUCCAUACCGUAAACGAUGAAUGCUAAGUGUUGGAGGGUUUCCGCCCUUCAGUGCUGCAGCUAACGCAUUAAGCAUUCCGCCUGGGGAGUACGGCCGCAAGGCUGAAACUCAAAGGAAUUGACGGGGGCCCGCACAAGCGGUGGAGCAUGUGGUUUAAUUCGAAGCUACGCGAAGAACCUUACCAGGUCUUGACAUACUAUGCAAAUCUAAGAGAUUAGACGUUCCCUUCGGGGACAUGGAUACAGGUGGUGCAUGGUUGUCGUCAGCUCGUGUCGUGAGAUGUUGGGUUAAGUCCCGCAACGAGCGCAACCCUUAUUAUCAGUUGCCAGCAUUAAGUUGGGCACUCUGGUGAGACUGCCGGUGACAAACCGGAGGAAGGUGGGGAUGACGUCAAAUCAUCAUGCCCCUUAUGACCUGGGCUACACACGUGCUACAAUGGAUGGUACAACGAGUUGCGAACUCGCGAGAGUAAGCUAAUCUCUUAAAGCCAUUCUCAGUUCGGAUUGUAGGCUGCAACUCGCCUACAUGAAGUCGGAAUCGCUAGUAAUCGCGGAUCAGCAUGCCGCGGUGAAUACGUUCCCGGGCCUUGUACACACCGCCCGUCACACCAUGAGAGUUUGUAACA